rnacentral:rRNA from 1 species
GAUGAACGCUAGCUACAGGCUUAACACAUGCAAGUCGAGGGGUAACGAGAGGAAAGCUUGCUUUCCUUGUCGACGACCGGCGCACGGGUGAGUAACGCGUAUCCAACCUGCCCCCAACUAAGGAAUAACCUUGCGAAAGUAAGACUAAUACCCUAUAAUUUCCUCAGAUGACAUCUGACGAGGAAUAAAGAUUUAUCGGUUGUGGAUGGGGAUGCGUCUGAUUAGCUUGUUGGCGGGAUAACGGCCCACCAAGGCAACGAUCAGUAGGGGUUCUGAGAGGAAGGUCACCCACAUUGGAACUGAGACACGGUCCAAACUCCUACGGGAGGCAGCAGUGAGGAAUAUUGGUCAAUGGGCGGAAGCCUGAACCAGCCAAGUAGCGUGCAGGAUGACGGCCCUAUGGGUUGUAAACUGCUUUUAUACAGGAAUAAAGUUAGCCACGUGUGGUUAUUUGUAGGUACUGUAUGAAUAAGGACCGGCUAAUUCCGUGCCAGCAGCCGCAGUAA